UGGGGAAUAUUGCACAAUGGGGGAAACCCUGAUGCAGCCAUGCCGCGUGUGUGAAGAAGGCCUUCGGGUUGUAAAGCACUUUCAGCGAGGAGGAAAGGGGUGAUGCUAAUACCAUCAUCCUGUGACGUUACUCGCAGAAGAAGCACCGGCUAACUCCGUGCCAGCAGCCGCGGUAAUACGGAGGGUGCAAGCGUUAAUCGGAAUAACUGGGCGUAAAGCGCACGCAGGCGGUCGGAUAAGUCAGAUGUGAAAGCCCCGGGCUCAACCUGGGAACUGCAUUUGAAACUGUUCGACUAGAGUCUUGUAGAGGGGGGUAGAAUUCCAGGUGUAGCGGUGAAAUGCGUAGAGAUCUGGAGGAAUACCGGUGGCGAAGGCGGCCCCCUGGACAAAGACUGACGCUCAGGUGCGAAAGCGUGGGGAGCAAACAGG
rnacentral:rRNA from 1 species